rnacentral:rRNA from 1 species
AUACGGAGGGAGCAAGCGUUAUCCGGAAUCAUUGGGUUUAAAGGGUCCGUAGGCGGACUAUUAAGUCAGAGGUGAAAUCCCACAGCUCAACUGUGGAACUGCCUUUGAUACUGGUAGUCUUGAGUUAUAUGGAAGUAGAUAGAAUGUGUAGUGUAGCGGUGAAAUGCAUAGAUAUUACACAGAAUACCGAUUGCGAAGGCAGUCUACUACGUAUAUACUGACGCUAAGGGACGAAAGCGUGGGGAGCGAACAGGAUUAGAAACCCCUGUAGUCC